AUGCAUCUCCUCCUCCUCCUGUUCCUGUUCCAGGUACAACUCCCUCUCCUCCAGUUCCUGCUCCAGUGACCCCUUCCCCACCUUCCACCAAUUCUACAUCUCGAGCUGGACCUGCAACACCUACCAUUCAUUCCCCUAACACCACAUCAGAUUCUGAAAAUGCCACAUACGCUGCCACCACUGCAAUCCCUUCAUCCCUGCAUCCACAGGUAUGCUCUCAUCUGAAAAGCUUACGGGUUUGCUACCCCCGAUAUUGGUACUUAUACUCUCUGGUGACAAAAGUAUGCAUUUCAUCAAGUGGUUAGGGUCACUGUUAACAAAUUUGAAAGUGAAAUUUUGCCUCUGUCAUGUUUUAGCAUUUUGUCAUUUUGUGAAAGAAAGGAAAAAAAAAUGUACACAAUGCCAAUUAAAACACGACAGACGAAGGUGCACUGUGUAGGA